rnacentral:rRNA from 1 species
UACGUAGGGGGCAAGCGUUAUCCGGAUUUAUUGGGUUUAAAGGGUGCGUAGGUGGACCUAUAAGUCAGUGGUGAAAUCCUGCAGCUUAACUGCAGAACUGCCAUUGAUACUGUUGGUCUUGAGUAUAGUUGAGGUAGGCGGAAUAUGUCAUGUAGUGGUGAAAUACUUAGAUAUGACAUAGAACACCGAUUGCGAAGGCAGCUUGCUAAGCUAUAACUGACACUGAUGCACGAAAGCGUGGGGAGCAAACAGG